UUUGGGGUUUGGGGAUUUUUGUGGUUUUUGGGGUUUGGCAUUUUGGCAUUUGAGGUUUGAGAUUUGGGAUUUGUGGUUUUGGGAUUCUUUGGGAUCUCUGGAAUCCUUUGGGACCUUCUGGAAUUUUUUGGGACCCUCUGGAAUAUUUUGGAAAAUUUUGGAAUUUUUUGGUCCCCUCCGGGCUCGUCCCUCGCUCCCCCCCCGGGGCCCCCCCGUCACUCAUUAAUUAAUUAAUUAAUUACUUUAUUAACUUCUCCCCGCCCCGUUCAUGACCUCAUUAAUUCCCCGUUGCGCUUUUACGGCGGCACUGCCCGUUCGAUGCAAAUUUAUGGAGAUUUAUGCAAAUGAGGCGGUUUAGAGGCGCGGCCGCCGCGGCCCCGCUCAGAGCCGCUCCCGCGGCCGCGGUUUUGGGGCGAAAUCCCGGGAAAAAGGAGCGGGAGAGGCCCCGGAGCGCCGCGGAAAGGAACAAAACUCGCGGCGACGUUUCCCCUGAGCUCAUCCCAAACCUCCGCUCCUGGCUCGGCUGGAUGGAAAAAAUUCCUCCAGCUCCGUUUU